rnacentral:lncRNA from 1 species
GGCGCAUGACAUUUUAUCUUGGCAUGCAGAAGGGCUAAGAGUCCUUCUGCACAUUAAUCACCUUUUUGGGAUAAGGAUUAGAGGGCCAAGAUUAAAUUCCUACCUUUGGUUGAGUGAUUUGACCAAGUCAAAACACAUUUGGAGGGCCAAGAUGGGAUCUUGGUGGCGCCAAUUCUAGAAGGCUAAAAAUUUCUUCGUAACUUUUCACGUAUCAAUUCUCUC